UUGGUAGACUAGGCGAUCGCCGCUGCACACUGGCAACAGAUGAGCAGGGGAGGAAAGUCCGGGCUACAUAGGGCAGCGUGCCAGCUAACGGCUGGGCAGGGUAACUUGACGACCAGUGCAGCAGAGAGUAGACCGCCUUUAGUAUCUUAGGGUAUUAUCGGUAAGGGUGAAAGGGUGCGGUAAGAGCGCACCGCGUGGCUGGUAACAGUUCACGGCAUGGUAAACUCCACGCGUAGCAAGACCAAAUAGGCAUCGGCAUGGCGCGGCCCGCGUUCGAUGCGGGUAGGUUGCUUGAGCGUAUUAGCGAUGAUACGCCUAGAGGAAUGAUCGUCCACGACAGAACCCGGCUUAUCGGUUUACCAAACCU
rnacentral:RNase_P_RNA from 1 species